ACUGGAUGCACAUUUUACCCAUUUCUGGGCUUCACUAGCUGCAUAUCAAGCCCAAGUGGCGCAUAUGCCGCAAACAAACAGCUGGAGCAGCGGGGGACAGGUGGCGGCUGGGCCCACCUCGGGCCUUCCUCCUAACAAAAUGCAAGUACAUUCUGCUGUCUGCCCACCUAGACCUGGGGCCGCAGGUGGAAAAACCCUUCUGCGUCAACCAUCACAGGCUUCUGUCUCACCCCAUCGGAGAAGGACUGGGACUCUGUGAGCCUGCAAGCCCAUGGUUUGAAGACGCCAUCCAGAAAACCAAUCUGGGACUUGAGAGGUGCACCGCAUCAUGCCCAAACUACUACUGCUACUCCCAACACUCCUAGGAAGUGCAACACAUGUAUUCGUGACCAACGCAUUGGCUAAACUGACGUUUGCAAUUGAGGACUGACCUUUGGAUUAAAUGCUUACCUUGUACCUUGCUGAUACCUCAGAGAUUUUUAUAAUUCGUGUCCCAUUUACUUGCAUUUCUAUUCUCCUUGCCUUAUAUCAUUUUGUUCUCUUUGUCUUAAUGAGGUUAUGUGCCAAUGUAGAUGUGGCGAAACCGGCCUCGCCACGUGUCCUUGGAGGGGGCUGCUUGCCCGCCUCUUGCCUUUGGACUAUGGACCAGACUUUAUGUGAAGGUAUUAACCCAUAUAGCUAUGCCAUGGAGCCCAUUCGUGUAGUUAAAGACUUCGGCUCCAUGGCAAUUGAACUGUGUGAAUAGGAUCUGAGCGCUAUUUGGUAGUUUUGUGCGCUCAGAUCCCAGCUAUCUGGGGAUAUGUGACAUGUCUGUGUUUUAUGUAUAAAAGGUGACUUUAUGUAUUUUAAAGUGUUUUUGUCUUUUUGCAACCAUGUGCUUAAUGGAGUCUUGUGUCUGUCCUGGGAGAUAAUUUAAUUACUCUAAAUUCAAUCUCCAGGAUAGAAGACUCUGAAACUGGUUUGGGCCGGAAAGCCAUGCUUCAUUUAGUCACAAAGGACUUUCCCUUAACUUUUGAACCCCUGGUCUGAUUCGUGCCAUUUUUUAAUAUGUUGUUCCCCUGAAUGGAUUGAUUAUGAAAAUGUAUGUUUUAUGUUUGUGACAUUUAUAUUUUAGAAGUUAUAAAUAUUGUGUAAAAACUGUAUUCCUCUGCCGGUGAUAAUGAGAUUACCCAUUGUGUUCAGUAAUCAUAUCACCUGCAGAGGGGAGGAUUUUGUGUGGGAGUGUCUGGGUGUAUUGUACGGAUUGAUUGGUUGUUUUGUAACGCCCUGUGGGCUGUACUAUGUUUGUGGAUUGGGAAUAAAAGAGACUGUAUGUGACAGUACAGGAAGUUCCUGUUUUAACCCUCAAAGUGAAGUGUCGUCUCAUUAUUGGGGGAAGGAUUUAUUGUAUGGUGUUCCAGUUUGACUGCUAGGAAAGUAAACCUAUUCGUAUGGUUCCUAUUCAACUGUCUACAGCAUUCAUAUGCUUGGGAGAAUUUAUUUGGUUCUCCGGUUCGGUGAUUGUGGUGUCUGCCAGAGUGCUUGGAGUCCUCAGGAAGCGCUAGGAGCAUCCUUCAACGGAGGUACCCAGUCGGGGUGCCAGGCGAUCCGUUACAUUGGUGGCAAGCGGUGGGAUGGCGUCCUAGUGCGAGGUAAAGCAGCUCAGAGACACAGUUCGUUUGGAUUUACAAAUUGAAGGCGACGCUAGUGUUUAUACAGCGUCCCUGUCUACAUAAAGAUUUGGGAAAAUGGGGUUUGUGGAUCCUUGGGCAACACGCACACCUGAGGAAGAGAGUGAAUUGGAAUGGAGAGAUAUUGCCCGGCAAGAACUAUGGUACGAUGCCCUGGAGGAAGUCCAGUAUCAACGGCAGCAGCGCCUUCCUGGUGUCACAUACCAGUUGGAGGAACAAAUGGCCUGGCGGAUGCCGCUUCUGGGAGACCAACCCGGAGGGCAGCAGGUCAGACAACUUGAGUACCUCGUGGAAAGGGAACUGAGCCUUGAGGCCUCAUACCGGGCACUGUGGUGGUGCACUGUCCAGCCAGAGACGUGGAGGGCAGAGGGCAUCCAGCCAGAGGGGGAGAACUACACUAGCCCUGGCCUGUUGUGGAAGGCCUUAGCAGAAGACGUCGACUUUGGCAGUCCAGCAGAGUCACGGUACUGGGCUAUCUUUUAUUACUGGGGUGAGAUGGUACAGGGCCCGAGAUCUAUGGGACUGGGACAAGACCUCCACCGUUUGGCUGCUAUGGAACGAGAGCUAGAGAUGGACUAUGUGGAACUACUGAACUCAUGUCAGCCGCAGAGCAUAGGCGCAGAACAGGAAAACUGGGUGGCGGACCCAGACCUGCCAACCUACAGCUGGGAAAACGCAGCCGAGGUCCCCACUGCUUCACUACCAGUUGCAGAAGUAGGGGACCUCAUAGACUGGUCCUGGGAAGACCCACCGAUGGCAGGUAGAGAUGGGACGGCUGUCUCUCUACCGGCCCUACAGGGAUGCUGGGCAGUCAGCCCAGAUCCCCAGCGGCAGUAUGUAUCCCAGGGAACUGAAGGUGUGGUCCUUCCUCCCCAGCGGCAGUGUGUAUCCCAGGGAGCUGAAGGUGUCGUCCUUCCUCCCCAGCGGCAGUGUGUACCCCAGGGAGCAGAAGGUGCCGUCCUCCCUCCCCAGCGGCAGUGUGUAUCCCAGGGAGCAGAAGGUGCCGUCCUUACUCCCCAGCGGCAGUGUGUAUCCCCGGGAGCCAAAGGUGUCGUCCUUCCUCCCCAGCGGCAGUGUGUACCCCAGGGAGCUGAAGGUGCCGUCCUUCCUCCCCAGCGGCAGUGUGUACCCCAGGGAGCAGAAGGUGCCAUCCUUCCUCCCCAGCGGCAGUGUGUACCCCAGGAAGCAGAGACCGUCUGUCUCGCACCCCAGCCGCAGGACAAAAUAUUGAAAGGGGAGACAGUUGGUCCCCCUCUCCACCAGCAAAGAGAGUGUCAGAGGAGCAGGAGCAGUCUACAGUUCAGAGAGAGGAGCUUGUUACACCCUCUCUCCAGCGGCAGCCUAACCCACCAAGGGGAGAUGUUAAGCCCCACAACUAUCCAGAUGGGACACUUGCAGCACCAGGGGUAGGGACGGUCGGUCCUGUCCCCCAGCCACAGAGCAGUGUAUCCAGAAGGGAGACAGUCGGUCUCCCCCUCCCACAACCAGGCUCCAACCAGGCUACUUCAGUGGUAGCGCUGGCACCCGGGCAGAGUACCGCUGGUCUCUGCCCACUCAGCAACCCACCAAGGCAGUCUACCAGACCCCCGCACAGCCGUGGUGAGGCACCUGGACAUGGACAAGUUGCUAUUUUAUCCAGGUGUAGUAACCAGUUAUUGUGGGUGGGCUGCAUUGCUGUUUGUGCUUCGUGGGUUGGUUGCUGGACUAACCAGGGCACUGACCGGCAGGAGGUCAGAUACCCUGUUAGUCUGGAUGGUAAAGGGGAGAAAUGUGGCGAAACCGGCCUCGCCACGUGUCCUUGGAGGGGGCUGCUUGCCCGCCUCUUGCCUUUGGACUAUGGACCAGACUUUAUGUGAAGGUAUUAACCCAUAUAGCUAUGCCAUGGAGCCCAUUCGUGUAGUUAAAGACUUCGGCUCCAUGGCAAUUGAACUGUGUGAAUAGGAUCUGAGCGCUAUUUGGUAGUUUUGUGCGCUCAGAUCCCAGCUAUCUGGGGAUAUGUGACAUGUCUGUGUUUUAUGUAUAAAAGGUGACUUUAUGUAUUUUAAAGUGUUUUUUGUCUUUUUGCAACCAUGUGCUUAAUGGAGUCUUGUGUCUGUCCUGGGAGAUAAUUUAAUUACUCUAAAUUCAAUCUCCAGGAUAGAAGACUCUGAAACUGGUUUGGGCCGGAAAGCCAUGCUUCAUUUAGUCACAAAGGACUUUCCCUUAACUUUUGAACCCCUGGUCUGAUUCGUGCCAUUUUUUAAUAUGUUGUUCCCCUGAAUUGAUUGAUUAUGAAAAUGUAUGUUUUAUGUUUGUGACAUUUAUAUUUUAGAAGUUAUAAAUAUUGUGUAAAAACUGUAUUCCUCUGCCGGUGAUAAUGAGAUUACCCAUUGUGUUCAGUAAUCAUAUCACCUGCAGAGGGGAGGAUUUUGUGUGGGAGUGUCUGGGUGUAUUGUACGGAUUGAUUGGUUGUUUUGUAAUGCCCUGUACUAUGUUUGUGGAUUGGGAAUAAAAGAGACUGUAUGUGACAGUACAGGAAGUUCCUGUUUUAACCCUCAAAGUGAAGUGUCGUUUCAUUAUUGGGGGAAGGAUUUAUUGUAUGGUGUUCCAGUUUGACUGCUAGGAAAGUAAACCUAUUCGUAUGGUUCCUAUUCAACUGUCUACAGCAUUCAUAUGCUUGGGAGAAUUUAUUUGGUUCUCCGGUUCGGUGAUUGUGGUGUCUGCCAGAGUGCUUGGAGUCCUCAGGAAGCGCUAGGGGCAUCCUUCAACGGAGGUACCCAGUCGGGGUGCCAGGCGAUCCGUUACAGUAGAGAAUUGUGACCCAAUGGUUCCCUGCAUUUUACUCAUAACUAUAUGCUACUCUUGUUUAAGCUAUCAUUCAUCUACCAUACCUUAACAUGCAUAUACAUCCUGGAUACUCACCUUGGCUAAUUACUCCCAUGCUGUCAGAUGGAGUAGUUAGAGCUCAGCCUGUUAUUUCAUUAUUGUUUACUGACAUAUGUUUAUUGUAUCCUCUCUUCAUUACAUACCUAAAAAUUGUGCUGACAUCUCCAUUGCCACAUAGUUCAGGAUCUAAUAUAUGUUUUAUCGAUCUUGCUUCUGCUUUUGGGGCUAAGAAAGCUUGUUUGUUUGUUAC